UAGGGAAUAUUGGUAAUCUGGGAAACCGGGAACCAGCACCUCCGCGUGUGCGAAGAAGGCCUCCGGGUUGUAAAGCCCCUUUUAUGGGGAUGAGUAAGGACAGUACCGUUAGAAUAAGCCUCGGCUAACUACGUGCCAGCAGCCGCGGUAACACGUAGGAGGCUAGCGUUAUUCGGAUUUACUGGGCGUAAAGCGCGUGCAGGCGGGUUGGUAAGUUGGAUGUGAAAGCUCCCGGCCUAACUGGGAGAGGUCGUUCAAUACUACCAGACUAGAGGUUGGGAGAGGGGGGUGGAAUUCCGGGUGUAGUGGUGAAAUGCGUAGAUAUCCGGAGGAACACCAGUGGCGAAAGCGGCCUCCAGGCCCAUUUCUGACGCUCAGACACGAAAGCGAAGGGAGCAAACG
rnacentral:rRNA from 1 species